rnacentral:rRNA from 1 species
AACGAACGCUGGCGGCAGGCUUAACACAUGCAAGUCGAGCGCCCCGCAAGGGGAGCGGCAGACGGGUGAGUAACGCGUGGGAAUCUACCCAAUACUACGGAAUAGCUCCGGGAAACUGGAAUUAAUACCGUAUGUGCCCUACGGGGGAAAGAUUUAUCGGUAUUGGAUGAGCCCGCGUUGGAUUAGCUAGUUGGUGGGGUAAUGGCCUACCAAGGCGACGAUCCAUAGCUGGUCUGAGAGGAUGAUCAGCCACACUGGGACUGAGACACGGCCCAGACUCCUACGGGAGGCAGCAGUGGGGAAUAUUGGACAAUGGGCGAAAGCCUGAUCCAGCCAUGCCGCGUGAGUGAUGAAGGCCUUAGGGUUGUAAAGCUCUUUCACCGAUGAAGAUAAUGACGGUAGUCGGAGAAGAAGCCCCGGCUAACUUCGUGCCAGCCGCCGCAGUAAUAC